CGUAAACGUCAGUUGAUAUCGUCUAAUUAAAAAUUCGACUAUAAGCAAAAAUGCAAUAAAAGUUUAAAUAUUAAAUAGUGUCAUUAUUAAGUGUAUGUUAUGGAAAAACAGAAAUUUUGAAAACAUACAAUGUCUGAGGAAAAUAAUGAUAUUGAAUACUUAAUAACAACACUUGGAACAUUUUUAUUACUGGCAUUGGUUUGUUGUAUCUGCUGUUUUUGUAUGAAAAUCAGUGACAUGAAACUGAGGAACUAUAUACUAGAGUUGGGAAAGAAGAGCAAUAUUAAUGUGGAUCUUGAGAAACUAAAACCAACCAAUACUAGGUAGUCUCCAUAUGCUAAUGAGAACUGUACAAUUGUCAUCCCUGAUGUUGCCAUAGUUCUAUAGAUCUGUAUGAGUUUACAAGUAAUAUUAGCUAUAAGUUAGUAAAAUUAUGCUUACAAUAUGAUUGGCAAAAGAGUUAUUUUGUGUUGCCAUGUAAAAAUUUGAUACAACUUUCUGUGAGGUCACAUUUAUUGUCCAAAGUACACUUAAAACUUUAAGUUUUAUAAAAAUCAAUUUGUACCUGUUUAAUGUAAUACUCAUUUUUUAUGUUAUAUAUUAUGUGAUAUGAGGCUUUGUCUUAAGUUAAACUUUUUUCAAAGUUAUUUAUUUUCUUUUUUUAAGUAAAAUCAAAUAUGGAUUUGAAUAGUUUCUUUGCAAAAUUGAAUUCAUAUAUAUUUAUUUAUUGAUAACUGAAACAAUAUUAUUAAAAUAUAUCCCAAAUUAAAAAAAAAUUGGGUGUGUAAAAGUUAUACAAUACAAUUUGCUACAUAGGAGAAUGAUGUAUAUGGUUUUUCAUAUAUAUUCUUUUCCAUUGUAGUAGAAAAAUGGUCUAAAAGUUCUCCAAGAACUCAUGAAACUUGAUCUUACUUGAGCGACGACACUGUCCAUGUAUACGCACAAUAUUAUUAAAAAAAAAAUAUUUUUAAAAUAAAACCAAAGGUUCUGUACUCAACCUGUAGAUAAUCCUAAGUUCCUAAAUUAUGUACUAUUUAUAAUGUCAAUUUAUUCUUCCCUUUUAAAUCUUGGCAUCAUGAUACCAUCAUGUGUUGUGCCUUAUUGUGGCCAAAGUUAAAAGCAUGUAUAUUUCUAUGAUCUGAAUAAAAAGCUUUUAUAUCUAAUGUCUAAGAAAACUGUGUAGUAUUUUUAACCUAGCGUUUUUUCUAUACUACUUAAGAAAAACUUUAACAUUACUUUAGGAGAAAGUGUAUGAUAUUCAGUGUAUCAAAUUACGAUGCCAUUUUUUGUACAGCUUAUUGGUACCAAAUAUAAUGUAUUUUUCAGACAUGUGGGACAAAGUAAUACAAAUGCCACUCUUAGAAGAGUUUUGUGUAAUAAUUCUUAUAUACUUAGUAAACAUUGAAAUUAUAUGUAAAUGAACAGUGUUUCGAAAAGCAUUGUUUAUUAUAAAAUUGUACACUUAGUUUAAAUACAGAAAAUACAAGAAAGAAAGAAAAUACAAUUAUUCUGUAAAAUUCUAAAACUCAAGAAAUGUAAGCACAUUUUCACAGUGUAUCCUUUCGAAUUGUUUUUAUAAAAUAAAAAAAUACAAUGAGUCAUAAUAACUAGUAGUUGUUAAAAAAGUUAAUAGUAUUCUUAAUGUUCUAAGGUAGCUCUGAUUUGAUAAUAUAAGUUCUAAACAAAAUAAGGUAAUACGCACACAUAAUAUAAUAGGAAUUUUUCUUCUUGAAAUGUUUAAAUAAUAACAAUACAAUAUAUAUAAUAGCUUAUAUUGUUUUUUACGUAAACAAUUUCAAUUAUGACUGAUAUUAAUUUUAUAAGCUCUCUACAAUUGUAUUUAAGUAUGUUUUUAUUGUACAAAGCUUGGCAAUAUUAAUACUGUGAAUAGCAAUCUCUUUUAAAUUUUGGAAGAGAUUGUUAGGUUUUUCUAUAUCUGAUAGGCAAAUUUGAGAUCAAUUUAUCAUUAAUAUUUAUUUUGAGCAAUUAUUGCUACAACUGACACAAUAUUUGGAAGAGAAAAGGCUUCAAGUUCUGUAAAUCUGUAUUGGAAUUUGGAUUCCCUUGUUUUUGUUGUUUGCGACAUACCAAUAGGUAUGUAAUUGUAUCGAAUAUUUUUAUGAAUAAGCUUACAGCUCCCCUGGUGGACUCGAGGAGAACUAAGUUUUUCAAAUAAAUAUUUAUCAUAAAUGUUAAUGACAUUUAUAAUUAAAUAACAGUUUUAUUAUUCUUAAAAUAGUUAAUGAUCAAAUUAAGAAGCUCAAGAGCCUAACUUAGCGGUUGAUGCUCUUGGUGAUUGAUGGCAAAAUUGAUUUGCAGGGUGACAGCAGUUUGGUAAUUAGAAAUAUUAAUAAUUGAUGUAUAGACUGAUAGUAUUAGUAGUAACCUAGCCUUGAACAUUCUAAAUUUAAUUAUAUUGAGAAAAUAAUACUUGAUUCGUUGAGGUAAAAUAUCUAAAUAAAGUUCUAAUGCACAUGUCAGAGCAAUGGUGCUGGUAUCGCCUGCCAAACUAUCAAAAAGUCUGUUAAUUUGUAGAUUUAUUAAUAUUGGCAAAUCUAAUAAACAAUAUAACUGUUUUAAACUAAUUUGCCUUUGAUGAUAUUAAAUUAUAAUGAAAAUGGCAGCCGAUACCACCACCAUUGCUCCGAUAUACAUAAUGCAUUUAUUAACAGUGUUAUUAGUUGCCAAGCUGUAGAUAUAGCUGUGUAUGUGUUCACGAAAUUUUUUAGAUAAACGAUUUAUAAAUA